ACCUUUGAAAAGCACUACGAGGCCAUUAGCAAGAUGCUAUCUCAAAGUGGAUUUGGGUGGGAUUGGGUCAAUAACAAGCUGUCAAUUGAUAGUGAAGAUGUGUGGCUUAAAUAUGUCGCGGCUAACAAGAAAGUAGGAUUUUACAAGAACAGGGUCAUUAAGAAUUGGGAUGCUAUCACCACCAUAUACUCAAAAGAUCAUGCAAAUGGUGAAGGUGCUGUCACUGGUGCUGAAACUGUUGUAGAACCAACUACGGAACCCAAUGAAGCCUCUCCUGAAGUGCCA